rnacentral:rRNA from 1 species
GAUGAACGCUGGCGGCGUGCCUAAUACAUGCAAGUCGAACGAAACUUCUUUAUCACCGAGUGCUUGCACUCACCGAUAAAGGGUUGAGUGGCGAACGGGUGAGUAACACGUGGGCAACCUGCCCAAAAGAGGGGGGUAACACUUGGAAACAGGAGCUAAUACCGCAUAACCAUAGUUACCGCAUGGUAACUAUGUAAAAGGUGGCUAUACUACCGCUUUUGGAUGGGCCCGCGGCGCAUUACCUAGUUGGUAGGGUAAAGGCUUACCGAGGCGAUGAUGCGUAGCCGAAUUGAGAGGUUGAUCGGCCACAUUGGGACUGAGGCACGGCCCAAACUCCUACGGAAGGCAGCAGUAGGGAAUCUUCCACAAAGGGCGAAAGCCUGAUGGAGCAAGGCCGCGUGGGUGAAGAAGGUCUUCGGAUCGUAAAACCCUGUUGUUAGAGAAGAAAGUGCGUGGGAGUAACUGUUCACGUUUCGACGGUAUCUAACCAGAAAGCCACGGCUAACUACGUG